ACCCUUGUGGAGGAGGACGCCGAAGGUGGGGCUAAUGACUGGGGUGAAGUCGUAACAAGGUAGCCGUACCGGAAGGUGCGGCUGGAUCACCUCCUAACAGGGAGACAACAAAAUGUUUAAUAUUAUUAUUUUGUCACCUUAGGUCGAUCGGUAUCUCACGUUCUUAAUUAAGAAUUUCAUUUCCUAAGUUUUUCUAGGUCACACCCAUUAUUUUUCCUGGGCCAUUAGCUCAGGUGGUUAGAGCGCACCCCUGAUAAGGGUGAGGUCCCUGGUUCAAGUCCAGGAUGGCCCAUAUCUCUAUGUUGGGGGUAUAGCUCAGUUGGUAGAGCGCCUGCUUUGCAAGCAGGAUGUCAGCGGUUCGAGUCCGCUUACCUCCACUGAUUACCACCUCUUCCAUAAUCUGUAGAAAGGAAAUUUUUUGAGUUGUGAUCAAAUUCUGAACGAAUCUAGCUUCCUAAUGAAAGUAUUAAGAUGCUGGACUCAUUGAAUUAAUUUCAUUGUUUUCAGAGAACCUUGACAACUGCAUAGAUUUUUUUUAAAGACAAUAAGCAUCUUUAAUGAUGCAGAUUUAUUAUUUGUGCGAAUGCAUUAAUAACAAUUCUAUUAAGCUGAUGCUUCAAUUUUGAAGUUAUUGGUCAAGCUACAAAGGGCUCACGGAGGAUACCUAGGC
rnacentral:misc_RNA from 1 species